rnacentral:rRNA from 1 species
UACAGAGGGUGCAAGCGUUAAUCGGAAUUACUGGGCGUAAAGCGUGCGUAGGCGGUUGCGUAAGUCAGAUGUGAAAGCCCCGGGCUCAACCUGGGAAUUGCAUUUGAGACUGCGUAGCUAGGGUGCGGAAGAGGGAAGCGGAAUUUCCGGUGUAGCGGUGAAAUGCGUAGAUAUCGGAAGGAACACCAGUGGCGAAAGCGGCUUCCUGGUCCAGCACCGACGUUCAGGCACGAAAGCGUGGGGAGCAAACAGG